CCUACGGGAGGCUGCAGUGGGGAAUAUUGCGCAAUGGGCGAAAGCCUGACGCAGCGACGCCGCGUGAGGGAUGAAGGUCUUCGGAGUGUAAACCUCUGUCAGCAGGGAAGAACGGUCACUGUGCUAAUCAGCAGUGAAUUGACGGUACCUGCAAAGGAAGGAUCGGCUAACUCCGUGCCAGCAGCCGCGGUAAUACGGAGGGUGCGAGCGUUAAUCGGAAUGACUGGGCGUAAAGCGCUCGUAGGCGGUAUGUCAAGUCAAGGGUGAAAUCCCCGCGCGCAACGUGGGAACUGCCUUUGAAACUGGCAAACUGGAGUGUGUGAGAGGAUAGUGGAAUUCCAGGUGUAGGAGUGAAAUGCGUAGAUAUCUGGAGGAACAUCAGUGGCGAAGGCGACUAUCUGGCACAUAACUGACGCUGAGGAGCGAAAGCGUGGGUAGCAAACAGGAUUAGAUACCCUAGUAGUC
rnacentral:rRNA from 1 species